GAAGAGGCUGAGGACUGGGGUGGAGGAGCUGUUAAAUAAAUCAUAGCCACGCUUUGCAUUUUGAGAGGUGUUUCUCAUGUCUGGCUCACAGAGUGUCUCAGGAACUGAGGGAGAUCUCAUUGCUCCUCCUAAAAAAUGGCAGAAAGGAGACCUGGGGAGAUCAAGCAGCUUCUUCCAGCCUCAAAUAGCUGCACCCUGUUGCUAGGCUACCUGGCUGCCUUCCACACAUCCCAGAGCUGCUGGAAACCUCACAGCAAAUUGCAGCUCACAUGCCAGAAGAGAGCUGGAAACAGCUUCAGAGAAUGCACAGGAGCACCAGCAACCCCGUGAAGGGCUGGCAAGUGUGGGAUAAAAACCUCCUGGCAUUUGCACAGCCACGAGAUCUUUCCAUGUGGCCUGGGUUUGGAUGAUCUCAGCAGGGAGAAGGCAAGAAAAUGGGGUGGAAAAGGGAAAAAGAGCUGCAGAGGAAUGAUUGCCAUCCCCCCAUGGAGCACAAGAUUUCAGUCCCUUGUCCUGAGCCACCUGUGUCACCAGGGGGUUCCUGCACAUGGGGAACCCAGCAGGUGCAAGAGGAAAUCCAUGAGCAGCACUUUUCCUGUCCCAGGGGCCUUGCCCACACCUCUGCUAACUCACAGCAUCGUGCUUUCCCCUCUGCUUUUCUUCCACAGGAGCUGGAACUGGCAGAGCUUGGCUGAGGAAAACCACGCCUGGAUCCCACCAUGGGCCAGGUCCCUUUGACUUCGAAAGACCCAGUGAACAAAUCACCUCAUUGCUUAUAUAAAUACAUAAAUCACCUCAUUUCUUCUGUGUUGCUGCCAGGAUUGAGGGUUUCUAUACAGACCAGCAACAAACUGCAAGAAAAUGGAGUUGCUUUAUGGUUUUCUCUGUCCCUUUUCUUCCCAUAAAAUGUGCUGCAGUCAUAUGAGCAAUUUAUUUCCUGAGUGAUUGAAGAACAAAAACAAUUACAAACUGUACCAUUUUCUUUUUUUUCCCCUCUGAGCUUUCUCCUUUUCACUUACUGCUCAAACUUCCUUCCCAUCUUUCCUUUCCCUUCCCUCUUCUGCAAGACCCAAAUAAUUAGGGACAGGACACAAAACCUAACCAGAGUAGCAGAAGUCUUCUGGGCUAUGCAGGAUCAGGUACUGAGCCACAGCAUGCUGGUGAAAUUUAAAUAAAAAUGGGGAAAGGAAGGCAGAAAAGAAAGAAAAACAUAUUUCUGGUGCUUCUGAGAUCAAAGGAGCAACCCUUGAAAUUUGCUGGUUGGGAACUUGUGAGGAGGGAGGCUGUUAAACCAUUCCUGACUUCUGUGGCUGUUUUAUCAGCAGGGAGACAGUGACAUUGUUUGAACUAGAUACUGACUUUUUCCCCACAGAGCUUGUGUGAUGAUAUCUGAGCGUGUUCCCCGAGGCUCAGGCUUUGCUGGGAGAGAUCAGGAGCAGGGGAGAUGCUUCCACUUCAAACAGGUUCCACUGAGGCAGCCCAGGAAUGGGAGCUCCCUGCACUGCCCAGGGCCACAGCCCUUUGCACCUCACAAUUCUCACACCUUUUUCUCUCUUUUUUCCUCCCCACCUUCUCCAGGCCUUGGCUUCCCUGCAGAAUUCAACCCUCCCUCCUUCCCAGGGUUUUUCCUCCUCAGCACCAAAACCAUUUUGUAGGAAGGCUUUCAAAAGAACAUUUUUGUUUAGUGUUUGUUCCUCUGCACGUGAACACUGAGAAAGCAGGAAGGGGUUGAUGCAGUCAGAUAUUGAGGGCAGGAUUUGAGGAAAAGCAGCCCUGGAUCUGAAGCACCUCCCUGAGCA